rnacentral:misc_RNA from 1 species
GAAAUGCGAUAAGUAAUGUGAAUUGCAGAAUUCAAUGAAUCAUCGAAUCUUUGAACGCACCUUGCGCUCCUUGGUAUUCCUUGGAGCAUGCCUGUUUGAGUAUCAUGAAAUCUUCAAAGUAAAUCUUUUGUUAACUCAAUUGGUUUCUACUUUGGUAUUGGAGGUCUUUGCAGCUUCACACCUGCUCCUCUUUGUUCAUUAGCUGGAUCUCAGUGUUAUGCUUGGUUCCACUCGGCGUGAUAAGUUAUCUAUCGCUGAGGACACUGUAAAAGGUGGCCAAGGUAAAUGCAGAUGAACCGCUUCUAAUAGUCCAUUGACUUGGACAAUACUUUUAUGAUCUGAUCUGAAAUCAGGUAGGACUACCCGCUGAACUUAAGC